rnacentral:rRNA from 1 species
GACGAACGCUGGCGGCGUGCCUAAUACAUGCAAGUAGAACGCUGAAGGAGGAGCUUGCUCUUCUGGAUGAGUUGCGAACGGGUGAGUAACGCGUAGGUAACCUGCCUGGUAGCGGGGGAUAACUAUUGGAAACGAUAGCUAAUACCGCAUAAGAGUAGAUGUUGCAUGACAUUUGCUUAAAAGGUGCAAUUGCAUCACUACCAGAUGGACCUGCGUUGUAUUAGCUAGUUGGUGGGGUAACGGCUCACCAAGGCGACGAUACAUAGCCGACCUGGGAGGGGGAUCGGCCACACUGGGACUGAGACACGGCCCAGACUCCUACGGGAGGCAGCAGUAGGGAAUCUUCGGCAAUGGACGGAAGUCUGACCGAGCAACGCCGCGUGAGUGAAGGAGGUUUUCGGAUCGUAAAGCUCUGUUGUAAGAGAAGAACGAGUGUGAGAGUGGAAAGUUCACACUGUGACGGUAUCUUACCAGAAAGGGACGGCUAACUACGUG